AGGUUGUUUAGGUUCAUAGUCUUUCUUUGAAAAUGAGUUCCAAAGAGACAGGAAGCAAGGCAAGAGAUUGCUAAUGAAGAGAUGGACAGAACUUUAAGAUGCUUUGAACCUGUUCAGCUCCAUCGAAGUGGUGAAGCACCAAGGCGUGGGAAUUCUGCUAGACCAGCUGCAUCUAAGCCCUCCUCUUCCUAGAAAAGAAGACACCAUGAACCGAAAAGGCCAACAACAUAUCUAAGAAUGAGGGCUGACAAUGCGCCACUUCCGCGGCGCCGGACCAACCGCUCAUACAAUGAACAAGAGGAUGGCAUUAAAACUUGUGCCUCGUCUAAGAAACCCAAUACCAGUACUGCUGCUCCAUUGUACAAAGAGCUGAAGAAGGAUGAUUACUACUGGUUCUAGUUGUCAUAAAUUGCACCACUAGGUUAUUCCACAUAACAUGGUUGCUGGGAGUGGUGCAAUGAAGAAUGAGAACGAAAUUCCUGCAGUUUGUCAAAGAUCUCAGAAAUGGUCUGGUUUUCUCAAUAUAUAUAUAUAU